AUGAUUCAGUUCUUGUAUCUGAAGUUGAAUACAGCUCAGGGAAUGCAUCAUUCUUCUUCAUAUGAACAGCAGAAUAUGAUGGAAAGUGACUCCAGCACUGAAGCUCUACACGACUUUAUGGGGAGAAUCUGCCCUAAUCACUCACUGAUUAAUGGUUUCCCGGCAGCUAGAAGGUCUUGGAUCAUCUCACAGCAGAGGAGUUGACAGGACUGAUGCUCAUCUGACAGAUAUCAGACUCGAGAGGAUCCUCACGAUACUACACACACACACACACACACACACAUCUGACAGGUAAGACCUUCCAAUCUGUGUCUUUUAAACCUUAUUUAUUUAUAAUGAAUGAGCAGCAAUGUACUGAAGUACAGAAAUGAUCUGCAUAUCGUAUAUAUCUUUUUAAAUCUUUGCAUUAUGUAGAAAUUACUCGUCUAACUCUCGGCUCAUAACUGACGUUCACUGCAGUGUAAUAUUCACAUGUGGGCUGUCUGGGAUGUUUCUGUACAGUAGCUGAUCAGGGUGUGGCCCUGUAUGGCCUAUAAACUCAACAGUUAUUUUACUACAGCAUUGCUGAGGUUUUCAAAAACAGCAGUGCAUGUAAUGUAGUGUGACUGCUGGUAACUUCUAUGCUGUUUAUUACAUUAAUUUUAACAUUGUUUAUAGUCUUCUGUUUGGUAUGUUUUAGUGAUGUUUGACAAGAAAAGCAUUGCUGUUAUUAAUGUCGGUUUUAAAUAUUACACUAAACAUUUGUGGUCUUGUUGAGGAGAGUUUGUGCUGUUACUUUAGUAACUGAUCAGAUGCAGCUGCUGGACCAGAAAACAGGUGAAAAAAUCACCCAGAUGCACAAUGGAGGAGGAACUGGACAACAUCUAAAAACUAGAUGAUGACAGAGCGAGGGUGCGGGACUCUCUUUGUGACAGACAGGAAGAAAAUACAGAAACCACCCAAAACAUCCUAGCAACUGUAUAGCAACCAGCCAGAGUACCUUAACAACUGCCUAGCAAUCUUAACAUCAGCUUACAUUUUUAUUUCAAAUAUCAAUUUUAUUUAUUUAUUUAUUUAUUUGGUAGCUUUUGGUUGAAUUUUUUUCUUUCUUUUUUCAAACUUUUUCAGAUGCACUGCAGCAUUAGCAAUAAUGCAUUAUUAAAAUUAUUAAAAUUGUUUAUUAUGUGAAUGUAAGACUGAAUGCUUAAAUUCAGAAGAUCUCAGUUUCAUUAUUACCCGCAGGCUUGGCCGAACCAGGCGUCACAGUGCUGUUUACCAGAGACAGUGUGAGGCGCAGG
rnacentral:lncRNA from 1 species